GACGAACGCUGGCGGCGUGCCUAAUACAUGCAAGUCGAACGCUUCUUUCCUCCCGAGUGCUUGCACUCAAUUGGAAAGAGGAGUGGCGGACUGGUGAGUAACACGUGGGUAACCUACCCAUCAGAGGGGGAUAACACUUGGAAACAGGUGCUAAUACCGCAUAACAGUUUAUGCCGCAUGGCAUAAGAGUGAAAGGCGCUUUCGGGUGUCGCUGAUGGAUGGACCCGCGGUGCAUUAGCUAGUUGGUGAGGUAACGGCUCACCAAGGCCACGAUGCAUAGCCGACCUGAGAGGGUGAUCGGCCACACUGGGACUGAGACACGGCCCAGACUCCUACGGGAGGCAGCAGUAGGGAAUCUUCGGCAAUGGACGAAAGUCUGACCGAGCAACGCCGCGUGAGUGAAGAAGGUUUUCGGAUCGUAAAACUCUGUUGUUAGAGAAGAACAAGGACGUUAGUAACUGAACGUCCCCUGACGGUAUCUAACCAGAAAGCCACGGCUAACUACGUG
rnacentral:rRNA from 1 species